rnacentral:tRNA from 1 species
UGGCGCGAGUGACGGGGCUCGAACCCGCGACCUCCGGCGUGACAGGCCGGCGCUCUAACCAACUGAGCUACACCCGC